rnacentral:rRNA from 1 species
UACGGAGGGUGCAAGCGUUAUCCGGAUUCACUGGGUUUAAAGGGUGCGUAGGCGGGUUGGUAAGUCCGUGGUGAAAUCUCCGAGCUUAACUCGGAAACUGCCGUGGAUACUAUCAAUCUUGAAUAUCGUGGAGGUAAGCGGAAUAUGUCAUGUAGCGGUGAAAUGCUUAAAUAUGACAUAGAACACCAAUUGCGUAGGCAGCUUACUACACGAUCAUUGACGCUGAGGCACGAAAGCGUGGGGAGCAAACAGG